AGGUCAAGAGGCAGACGAAGCAGAACAAGAUCAGUUUCUAGAGAGAAGAUAAACAAGAAAGAGGAACAGACUUCUAAAGGAGGAGGCACUGUAUUACGUGAGAAAUUGUUAUCUGGGAAUAAGAGUGUAUUCUUAGAUGACUUAAAAGGCUUAGUCAGAUCUGAAGAGGCAUUCUACAUCAACGUACAAGGAGAAAACUGCCAAUAAGACCUUUACCUCAACACAUUUUCGCAGCUGGCCAGUUAUAAGAUGAAAAUAAGAGGCGUACUUGGAGAUUUAGAGCAAAAUAUAGGGAGGCCAAAUAAGAAAGCUCUCAGAUACUUCAAGAAAAGU